UACGUAGGGCCCGAGCGUUGUCCGGAAUCAUUGGGCGUAAAGAGCGUGUAGGCGGCCCCUUAAGUCCUGCGUGAAAUCUUGCGGCUCAACCGCAAGCGGUCGUGGGAAACUGGGUGGCUAGAGUGCGGGAGAGGAGAGUGGAAUUCCUGGUGUAGCGGUGGAAUGCGCAGAUAUCAGGAAGAACACCAGUGGCGAAGGCGGCUCUCUGGAACGCAACUGACGCUGAGACGCGAAAGCGUGGGGAGCAAACAGG
rnacentral:rRNA from 1 species